GACCCCGUGGCGCAGCGGUAGCGCGUAUGAUUCCAGUUAAGGAAGUUCCAUAAGGUCAUCCGUUCAAUCCGGGUCGGGGUCA